GGAAACCAUCUGGCAAGAACCGCUCAAGAGAAUGCUUCUUGGCUCUCACAUCUUAAAGGUCUUAAAAUAGCUAACAUUUAUUGAACAUUUUACUAUAUGCCAGUCAGUAAAUUGCAGAUGUAAGAUUCAAAACCAGACUUCACAUCUACCGACUUCAGUGACCCUGAAAUUUGUUCACAGAGAGCAUUUAACAUAACUGUCUUCAUCAUCUCCUUCUCUACAUUAAAAAUUAUGGAGGCCUUACAAACUGGUAGAAGAUGCAUAACAGAAGAGCUUAUGAAGUUAAAGAUGACAGCAUAGCAGCACUGUUCACAAAGACGUUAUUGGUGAUUCAAUCUUGAGUCAUGAAAAGUCAACCUUGAGCCACAAAAAGUCAACCUUGAGCCAAGCAGAUUGGAGAGUCAUACAUGCCAUUCCUGGGACCAUCAAAAAUGGCAGAGGUCACACAAAAAGGCAAAACUUUUAAGAGGUGUUUUAAACGUCGUAUGGGCCAAAGAGAAGCUGGAUUUCCUAUUGGAGUCACCUGUAACACACGUGUGACGAAAUUGGCCUGUGAGGACAAGGCAGUGAGCAGAGAGGACAGCAGUCCUUAUGAGAUCAAGCUCUAAGGUAUCCUAGACACAUUUGGAGAAUUCACCUGAGCUACAGGAUGUGGUAAGAUUUGGUGAGCAGGUGGUGAUUCUUACAGAAUCCCUCACACAUUCAUGCACAGAACUUCCCCAGCACACUCCCAGGUAGGACCACUUCCCUCUUCAUUGUGCAAAGAUUCACCACUGGUUCCAG
rnacentral:lncRNA from 10 species